GCGGCAUGCCUUACACAUGCAAGUCGAACGGCAGCGCGGGAGCAAUCCUGGCGGCGAGUGGCGAACGGGUGAGUAAUACAUCGGAACGUGCCCAAUCGUGGGGGAUAACGCAGCGAAAGCUGUGCUAAUACCGCAUAAGAUCUACGGAUGAAAGCAGGGGAUCGCAAGACCUUGCGCGAAUGGAGCGGCCGAUGGCAGAUUAGGUAGUUGGUGAGGUAAAGGCUCACCAAGCCUUCGAUCUGUAGCUGGUCUGAGAGGACGACCAGCCACACUGGGACUGAGACACGGCCCAGACUCCUACGGGAGGCAGCAGUGGGGAAUUUUGGACAAUGGGCGCAAGCCUGAUCCAGCCAUGCCGCGUGCAGGAUGAAGGCCUUCGGGUUGUAAACUGCUUUUGUACGGAACGAAAAGUCUCUUUCUAAUAAAGAGGGAUCAUGACGGUACCGUAAGAAUAAGCACCGGCUAACUACGUGCCAGCAGCCGCGGUAAUACGUAGGGUGCAAGCGUUAAUCGGAAUUACUGGGCGUAAAGCGUGCGCAGGCGGUUAUGUAAGACAGUUGUGAAAUCCCCGGGCUCAACCUGGGAACUGCAUCUGUGACUGCAUAGCUAGAGUACGGUAGAGGGGGAUGGAAUUCCGCGUGUAGCAGUGAAAUGCGUAGAUAUGCGGAGGAACACCGAUGGCGAAGGCAAUCCCCUGGACCUGUACUGACGCUCAUGCACGAAAGCGUGGGGAGCAAACAGGAUUAGAUACCCUGGUAGUCCACGCCCUAAACGAUGUCAACUGGUUGUUGGGUCUUCACUGACUC
rnacentral:rRNA from 1 species